CUGAAGGAGACCCUCCAGACCCCAGAAGGGUCCUUUUAGGGCGCGGCAAGCCAAGGGGGAGGCAAGGAGGGCGACGGCAAGCUUCAGCUCCAGUCACACACCCUCCUCUUGAGUACUCCUCAUCAUCCAGUGUGGACGUCCCACUUACUGUACCCUCAGCAAAACUAAAUCCUCAAGAGGAAUUUGAAAAAAAUAUGGAGAGGCUCUCUAAUAUUUUGGUAUCUUAUCCUUCUGCUGAGCCUCAAAGAAGCUCUGCAUCAUCAUGGUCUUUUCAGCAGCAGAAAGCCUCAGAUCGCUGGAAAGAAGCAAAACCAGACCACCUAAAAUGCCUUAUUGCAAAAGAGGCUGUUGGUCAUCCAUUGUGUUGGCUUUGCCAUGAGCCUGCUGUUAUUAGGUGCACAGAGUGUCUUCCCGAGGAGUGGUUCUGUGGGGAGUGUGAUGUAUUACGUCACAAAAAACAGCCACUCCACAACAGGGAAUGUGUCAUUCAUGGAUUUUUGAAGCCGUUCCACCAACCUCGUAUGCCAUUAAAGAGGAAGAUGGAUAUCACAUCCAUGAGCAAGGUACAGUGUGUUCUCACGAAAGCCAUCAUUUUGCUGUUCAUGUGUGUCUGCAGCCAGUUACAAAUAAUCUAAAUUAGUGAGUUUUUUGCAUUUUGCCGACUGUGAAGGUGCCAGACUGCUCCUGUGAAAGCACCAACUUCACCAUUUUACCAGGCAAACCAGUCAUUUUAAUUACCAUCAAUGGUAAAAACAAUUCGCUAUUUAGAUUUCUAUUGUAGAUUUGAUGUUUUUCAUACUAGUGUGCUGUGGCAUUGUGCUUACAAUUGCAGUCAUGUCAAAACCUAUGGUAUAGCACACGGUAUUGUCAUUAGCCAAAACAAAGACAGACCAAAAAAACCAAACCAAAAAAAGUAAGUCCAAUUAACACAGCUGUUAGAAUUUAGUGAAUUUGACAAAUGUAAACGAUGUGUGAUACCAAAGCCACUGGAAGGCAAGCCUGCAACCUUUAGCCAAAAAAGCUGCGGUGUAGAGAAGGAGACCAGAUGUCAAAGGA